UUGCCCAACCUUACAUAGUUCAGGAGUGGCAAGACCAGGAUUGAGUCAAGGUAGUCUGAUUCCAGAUUUGCUCCCUUCGCCAUUAUACUGAAGUUGAAUAUGUACGCAUACCCUAUACCAUUGUUUCUUUAAAAAUAGCUCUGGACUUGUUCAUUCUCUUCAGAAGUACAGCCUUGCGAUCAAUGGAAUCAACGAAGGACCUCAUUCCUUGUCCAUACACGUGCUGUGGCUGUCUACUUCCCGAAUGGUUUUCAGUGAUUUUCUUAAAACGGCCACAUUGAGUUCAUCCAAAUUUCCCUCACGAAUAGCUGGGAUCCCACAGCCCUGGCCUGGACAGGGCACCCUGCAGGCAGGGAUGAGCCUACCAGGGAAGGACUGACCUCUGGUUCUGAGGAGUAGAGCAGAGGAGAAGCCAAAAUCUGGGUUUGGAGUGUAUGACCAGGAAGCAUGGAGAGUUCCUCAAUGUGUGUCCAAGGAGAGUCCUGACGAAAGAGUGCUGAGACGCACGGUCCUGAUGAUCUAGCUGUGCACUCAGGCAUUCGACAGCGGGUGUCUCUGGUCCUUCCUCCAACGCCAAUACGAAGAACCCAGAAAUGAAAAAGAUUAUUAGUCAAUGUUUAUGUGGCAUCAUAAACACGAUACAGUGUGGGGGAAUUUUGUUUCUUAACCGUAGCAGUUUAUUUUGGUGAAA